ACUCUGCCUCACCUUCUCUGCCUCGCCCUCUCCGCCUCACUCUCUCUACCUCUGUAACUCGCCGCUCACACUCUCUGCCCUUUGACUCGCCCUCCCCGCCUCACUCAAGCUCACACUCUCUAGUCUCUUCCUCUCUGCCUCAAACAUUUUUCUUCCUCUCCGCCUCACUCAAGCUCACGGGUUUGAAGUACUGGGUUUUUUUUUUUCUUUUUGGGUUUUUUCCUUCUCAUCCUUACGGGUUCUCGGUCUCGCCCUCUAAAGUGGUCUGCUCUCUGCUUCUCGGCUUCAUCAGGUAAGGUUCUCCAUUCCUUCACUUCACUGGACUUCACUGGCUUCAUCUCAGAUUCUCCAUUCAUGUUCUCGGCUUCAUCUUAGGUUCUCCGUUCUGUGACUUCACUGUCUGAAAUUGUUGAGUGAAAUGGAAUCUGCCUCUGUGCCAUCUAAUGAACGUGCUUCUACAACCGGGUCUAAUGCUAAUUCUUCAUCAGUGAGGG